UACAUAGGGUGCAAGCGUUGUCCGGAAUUAUUGGGCGUAAAGAGCUCGUAGGUCGUUUGUUACGUCGGAUGUGAAAACCUGAGGCUCAACCUCAGGCCUGCAUUCGAUACGGGCAAACUAGAGUUUGGUAGGGGAGACUGGAAUUCCUGGUGUAGCGGUGGAAUGCGCAGAUAUCAGGAGGAACACCAAUGGCGAAGGCAGGUCUCUGGGCCAAUACUGACACUGAGGAGCGAAAGUCUGGGGAGCGAACAGGAUUAGAUACCCUGGUAGUCCAGACCGUAAACGGUGGGCACUAGUUGUGGGAACCUUCCACGGUUUCUGCGACGCAGCUAACGCAUUAAGUGCCCCGCCUGGGGAGUACGAUCGCAAGAUUAAAACUCAAAGGAAUUGACGGGGCCCCGCACAAGCAGCGGAGCAUGCGGCUUAAUUCGACGCAACGCGAAGAACCUUACCAAGGCUUGACAUAUAGGGAAAAGUGGCAGAGAUGUCAUGUCCGCAAGGGCUCUAUACAGGUGGUGCAUGGUUGUCGUCAGCUCGUGUCGUGAGAUGUUGGGUUAAGUCCCGCAACGAGCGCAACCCUCGUUCUGUGUUGCCAGCAUUUAGUUGGGGACUCACAGGAGACUGCCGGGGUUAACUCGGAGGAAGGUGGGGAUGACGUCAAAUCAUCAUGCCCCUUAUGUCUUGGGCUGCACGCAUGCUACAAUGGCCGGUACAGAGGGCUGCAAUACCGUAAGGUGGAGCGAAUCCCAAAAAGCCGGUCUCAGUUCGGAUUGAGGUCUGCAACUCGACCUCAUGAAGUUGGAGUUGCUAGUAAUCGUAGAUCAGCAACGCUACGGUGAAUACGUUCCCGGGGCU
rnacentral:rRNA from 1 species